rnacentral:rRNA from 1 species
GAUGAACGCUGGCGGCGUGCAUAACACAUUCAAGUCGAACGAAGCAUUUAAGACGGAGACUUCGGUCAAAGUCUUAUUUGACUUAGUGGCGGACGGGUGAGUAACGCGUGAGCAACCUGCCCUUUUGUUCGGGAUAACGUUUGGAAACGGACGCUAAUACCGAAUGACGUGUUGAGAUUGCAUGGUCUUAACACCAAAGAUUUAUUGCAGAAGGAUGGGCUCGCGUCUGAUUAGGUAGUUGGUGGGGUAACGGCCUACCAAGCCGACGAUCAGUAGCCGGACUGAGAGGUUGAACGGCCACAUUGGAACUGAGAUACGGUCCAGACUCCUACGGGAGGCAGCAGUGGGGAAUAUUGGGCAAUGGGCGAAAGCCUGACCCAGCGACGCCGCGUGAGGGAAGACGGUCUUCGGAUUGUAAACCUUUGUUGACAGGGACGAACAAAUGACGGUACCUGUCGAGGAAGCCACGGCUAACUACGUG